GUGGCCUAAGAAAUUCAAUAAAAGCAGCCCACUUUUUUGUCCAUAAAGUGCAAAGGUACACACACGCUACAAAUUAGAUUACAAAUGUUAAGCAAAGACUCCAAGUCAAUUGAAGGGUCCACACAUUUAUGAAAUCUUCAUCAUUGUGCGCUUUAGGAACUUUAUAAAAGGGCCUUAUCAUAUACUAUUUUGUAGUGAAUUUCCCAUAGCUUUUGAAGCCAUGAAUCACAAAGCCUUCUCUUUUCAAUUCAUAGCCUUUUUGGUCUUAAUCCUCUGUCUAUCCUCAGCAACAUCCAGGACAUUGUCAGCAGCAGGUGGAAAAAGCUCACCGGCGUAUCGUUCAUUACGAAAACCCGCUGAAGAACUUGGGCAUUCGCCGGUAUGCCAGUUACCGACAUGCAAGAAGAAGAUUUAUGGCAAUGGUAUAAAAGGUUCGCAGAGACCCUGAGGAACAUAUCAACUGUUAGAAGCAGAGCGAGUGCACGAAUAUAAAAUAAAAUUGGAUGCACUAUAUGCAUAUAUUAUGGGUGUUGUAUUAUCAUUACUAUUCAGUAAUGUAUUUUAUUUUGUAAUUCCUGAAAUAUGUAUCACUCUACUCGCUGCUUGUAUGAUUAGAUUCAAGACUUUGAAUCAAUGUGUGCGAAUUAUGAAUAAUAGAUAUGGAUUAAGUA